rnacentral:rRNA from 1 species
ACUAAGCGUACACGGUGGAUGCCCUGGCAGUCAGAGGCGAUGAAGGACGUGCUAAUCUGCGAUAAGCGUCGGUAAGGUGAUAUGAACCGUUAUAACCGGCGAUUUCCGAAUGGGGAAACCCAGUGUGUUUCGUCACACUAUCAUUAACUGAAUCCAUAGGUUAAUGAGGCGAACCGGGGGAACUGAAACAUCUAAGUACCCCGAGGAAAAGAAAUCAACCGAGAUUCCCCCAGUAGCGGCGAGCGAACGGGGAGCAGCCCAGAGUCUGAAUCAGCUUGUGUGUUAGUGGAACGGUCUGGAAAGUCCGACGGUACAGGGUGAUAGUCCCGUACACCAAAAUGCACAGGCUGUGAACUCGAAGAGUAGGGCGGGACACGUGGUAUCCUGUCUGAAUAUGGGGGGACCAUCCUCCAAGGCUAAAUACUCCUGACUGACCGAUAGUGAACCAGUACCGUGAGGGAAAGGCGAAAAGAACCCCGGCGAGGGGAGUGAAAAAGAACCUGAAACCGUGUACGUACAAGCAGUGGGAGCACGCUUAGGCGUGUGACUGCGUACCUUUUGUAUAAUGGGUCAGCGACUUAUAUUCUGUAGCAAGGUUAACCGUAUAGGGGAGCCGCAGGGAAACCGAGUCUUAACUGGGCGUUAAGUUGCAGGGUAUAGACCCGAAACCCGGUGAUCUAGCCAUGGGCAGGUUGAAGGUUGGGUAACACUAACUGGAGGACCGAACCGACUAAUGUUGAAAAAUUAGCGGAUGACUUGUGGCUGGGGGUGAAAGGCCAAUCAAACCGGGAGAUAGCUGGUUCUCCCCGAAAGCUAUUUAGGUAGCGCCUCGUGAAUUCAUCUCCGGGGGUAGAGCACUGUUUCGGCAAGGGGGUCAUCCCGACUUACCAACCCGAUGCAAACUACGAAUACCGAAGAAUGUUAUCACGGGAGACACACGGCGGGUGCUAACGUCCGUCGUGAAGAGGGAAACAACCCAGACCGCCAGCUAAGGUCCCAAAGUCAUGGUUAAGUGGGAAACGAUGUGGGAAGGCCCAGACAGCCAGGAUGUUGGCUUAGAAGCAGCCAUCAUUUAAAGAAAGCGUAAUAGCUCACUGGUCGAGUCGGCCUGCGCGGAAGAUGUAACGGGGCUAAACCAUGCACCGAAGCUGCGGCAGCGACACUAUGUGUUGUUGGGUAGGGGAGCGUUCUGUAAGCCUGCGAAGGUGUGCUGUGAGGCAUGCUGGAGGUAUCAGAAGUGCGAAUGCUGACAUAAGUAACGAUAAAGCGGGUGAAAAGCCCGCUCGCCGGAAGACCAAGGGUUCCUGUCCAACGUUAAUCGGGGCAGGGUGAGUCGACCCCUAAGGCGAGGCCGAAAGGCGUAGUCGAUGGGAAACAGGUUAAUAUUCCUGUACUUGGUGUUACUGCGAAGGGGGGACGGAGAAGGCUAUGUUGGCCGGGCGACGGUUGUCCCGGUUUAAGCGUGUAGGCUGGUUUUCCAGGCAAAUCCGGAAAAUCAAGGCUGAGGCGUGAUGACGAGGCACUACGGUGCUGAAGCAACAAAUGCCCUGCUUCCAGGAAAAGCCUCUAAGCAUCAGGUAACAUCAAAUCGUACCCCAAACCGACACAGGUGGUCAGGUAGAGAAUACCAAGGCGCUUGAGAGAACUCGGGUGAAGGAACUAGGCAAAAUGGUGCCGUAACUUCGGGAGAAGGCACGCUGAUAUGUAGGUGAAGUCCCUCGCGGAUGGAGCUGAAAUCAGUCGAAGAUACCAGCUGGCUGCAACUGUUUAUUAAAAACACAGCACUGUGCAAACACGAAAGUGGACGUAUACGGUGUGACGCCUGCCCGGUGCCGGAAGGUUAAUUGAUGGGGUUAGCGCAAGCGAAGCUCUUGAUCGAAGCCCCGGUAAACGGCGGCCGUAACUAUAACGGUCCUAAGGUAGCGAAAUUCCUUGUCGGGUAAGUUCCGACCUGCACGAAUGGCGUAAUGAUGGCCAGGCUGUCUCCACCCGAGACUCAGUGAAAUUGAACUCGCUGUGAAGAUGCAGUGUACCCGCGGCAAGACGGAAAGACCCCGUGAACCUUUACUAUAGCUUGACACUGAACAUUGAGCCUUGAUGUGUAGGAUAGGUGGGAGGCUUUGAAGUGUGGACGCCAGUCUGCAUGGAGCCGACCUUGAAAUACCACCCUUUAAUGUUUGAUGUUCUAACGUUGACCCGUAAUCCGGGUUGCGGACAGUGUCUGGUGGGUAGUUUGACUGGGGCGGUCUCCUCCUAAAGAGUAACGGAGGAGCACGAAGGUUGGCUAAUCCUGGUCGGACAUCAGGAGGUUAGUGCAAUGGCAUAAGCCAGCUUGACUGCGAGCGUGACGGCGCGAGCAGGUGCGAAAGCAGGUCAUAGUGAUCCGGUGGUUCUGAAUGGAAGGGCCAUCGCUCAACGGAUAAAAGGUACUCCGGGGAUAACAGGCUGAUACCGCCCAAGAGUUCAUAUCGACGGCGGUGUUUGGCACCUCGAUGUCGGCUCAUCACAUCCUGGGGCUGAAGUAGGUCCCAAGGGUAUGGCUGUUCGCCAUUUAAAGUGGUACGCGAGCUGGGUUUAGAACGUCGUGAGACAGUUCGGUCCCUAUCUGCCGUGGGCGCUGGAGAAUUGAGGGGGGCUGCUCCUAGUACGAGAGGACCGGAGUGGACGCAUCACUGGUGUUCGGGUUGUCAUGCCAAUGGCACUGCCCGGUAGCUAAAUGCGGAAGAGAUAAGUGCUGAAAGCAUCUAAGCACGAAACUUGCCCCGAGAUGAGUUCUCCCUGACUCCUUGAGAGUCCUGAAGGAACGUUGAAGACGACGACGUUGAUAGGCCGGGUGUGUAAGCGCAGCGAUGCGUUGAGCUAACCGGUACUAAUGAACCGUGAGGCUUAACC